AACGAACGCUGGCGGCAUGCCUAACACAUGCAAGUCGAACGAGACCUUCGGGUCUAGUGGCGCACGGGUGCGUAACGCGUGGGAACCUGCCCUUAGGUUCGGAAUAACUCCCCGAAAGGGGUGCUAAUACCGGAUAAUGUCUUCGGACCAAAGAUUUAUCGCCUUUGGAUGGGCCCGCGUUGGAUUAGCUAGUUUGUAGGGUAAAAGCCUACCAAGGCGACGAUCCAUAGCUGGUCUGAGAGGAUGAUCAGCCACACUGGGACUGAGACACGGCCCAGACUCCUACGGGAGGCAGCAGUGGGGAAUAUUGGACAAUGGGCGAAAGCCUGAUCCAGCAAUGCCGCGUGAGUGAUGAAGGCCUUAGGGUUGUAAAGCUCUUUUACCCGGGAUGAUAAUGACGGUACCGGGAGAAUAAGCUCCGGCUAACUCCGUG
rnacentral:rRNA from 1 species